GAAGGAGUUGAUGGUGAUGAGAAGGGUGGCAUCGUUUGCAAAAAUUGCAUAGAACAGCCAAAGCAUGGCGCUAAAUAAUGCAAUCACAUAUGGAAGAGACUGAAACCCUUCGCUUGUUUUCUUCUUGCAAAUUUGAUAAAAAGUUGGCAUAGGAGCAAGGCAGACCAGAAAGGAGAUGAUGUUACCUAAAAGGCCGAAAGCGAACGCCAAUGUCAAGUGGAGGGCCAUCUCUCCUACUGUACUAUUACAGAAGAAAAAGGUCUCAGACUCACAAAAAAAGAAAACAAAUGUCUCAAAAGAAAC
rnacentral:misc_RNA from 1 species